rnacentral:rRNA from 1 species
AAAUUGAAGAGUUUGAUCAUGGCUCAGAUUGAACGCUGGCGGCAGGCCUAACACAUGCAAGUCGAACGGUAACAGGAAGCAGCUUGCUGCUUUGCUGACGAGUGGCGGACGGGUGAGUAAUGUCUGGGAAACUGCCUGAUGGAGGGGGAUAACUACUGGAAACGGUAGCUAAUACCGCAUAAUGUCGCAAGACCAAAGAGGGGGACCUUCGGGCCUCUUGCCAUCGGAUGUGCCCAGAUGGGAUUAGCUGGUAGGUGGGGUAACGGCUCACCUAGGCGACGAUCCCUAGCUGGUCUGAGAGGAUGACCAGCCACACUGGAACUGAGACACGGUCCAGACUCCUACGGGAGGCAGCAGUGGGGAAUAUUGCACAAUGGGCGCAAGCCUGAUGCAGCCAUGCCGCGUGUAUGAAGAAGGCCUUCGGGUUGUAAAGUACUUUCAGCGGGGAGGAAGGGAGUAAAGUUAAUACCUUUGCUCAUUGACGUUACCCGCAGAAGAAGCACCGGCUAACUCCGUGCCAGCAGCCGCGGUAAUACGGAGGGUGCAAGCGUUAAUCGGAAUUACUGGGCGUAAAGCGCACGCAGGCGGUUUGUUAAGUCAGAUGUGAAAUCCCCGGGCUCAACCUGGGAACUGCAUCUGAUACUGGCAAGCUUGAGUCUCGUAGAGGGGGGUAGAAUUCCAGGUGUAGCGGUGAAAUGCGUAGAGAUCUGGAGGAAUACCGGUGGCGAAGGCGGCCCCCUGGACGAAGACUGACGCUCAGGUGCGAAAGCGUGGGGAGCAAACAGGAUUAGAUACCCUGGUAGUCCACGCCGUAAACGAUGUCGACUUGGAGGUUGUGCCCUUGAGGCGUGGCUUCCGGAGCUAACGCGUUAAGUCGACCGCCUGGGGAGUACGGCCGCAAGGUUAAAACUCAAAUGAAUUGACGGGGGCCCGCACAAGCGGUGGAGCAUGUGGUUUAAUUCGAUGCAACGCGAAGAACCUUACCUGGUCUUGACAUCCACGGAAGUUUUCAGAGAUGAGAAUGUGCCUUCGGGAACCGUGAGACAGGUGCUGCAUGGCUGUCGUCAGCUCGUGUUGUGAAAUGUUGGGUUAAGUCCCGCAACGAGCGCAACCCUUAUCCUUUGUUGCCAGCGGUCCGGCCGGGAACUCAAAGGAGACUGCCAGUGAUAAACUGGAGGAAGGUGGGGAUGACGUCAAGUCAUCAUGGCCCUUACGACCAGGGCUACACACGUGCUACAAUGGCGCAUACAAAGAGAAGCGACCUCGCGAGAGCAAGCGGACCUCAUAAAGUGCGUCGUAGUCCGGAUUGGAGUCUGCAACUCGACUCCAUGAAGUCGGAAUCGCUAGUAAUCGUGGAUCAGAAUGCCACGGUGAAUACGUUCCCGGGCCUUGUACACACCGCCCGUCACACCAUGGGAGUGGGUUGCAAAAGAAGUAGGUAGCUUAACCUUCGGGAGGGCGCUUACCACUUUGUGAUUCAUGACUGGGGUGAAGUCGUAACAAGGUAACCGUAGGGGAACCUGCGGUUGGAUCACCUCCUU